UUGGGUAUAAUCCGACAGACUACCGGGUUAACUUGAUUAAAGUGUUGAUUUGCAUGUGAGGUGAAGUUAAGAGCACUUUAGCCAAGUUAAUUUUGGUGGUUCUGCCACACUAACCCACUCACUAUACGGCACGGGUAGAUGAUCCCGGGCAUGUAGGAGUUUUAGGACCUCGUUCUUAACGACAUCCCUCAUCGCAUUGUUUAACCUCCUUUGAGGUUCCCUAGAAGGUGUGAUAGCAGGGUCUAAGGGAAUGCGAUGGGUGCAAAGAGUUGGACUAAUUCCCUUGAGAUCUUGGAGAGAGUAUCCAAGAACGGCUUGAUGUUUCUCUAGGAUAGUGAUGAGUCUCACGGAUUCCUCUUCUGAAAGUUUGUCACUAAUGAUUAUGGGAGACUCGGUGUCACCAUGGAGGAAGGCAUAAUGGAGGCCUGCGGGUAAGGGCUUAAACUCGAUUGGAGGUCUAGAGGGAGUCAAACUCGGAUAUAUCUAUGGGUUCGGCGGGAUCAUUCUCCUCCUCGAUGAAUUUUUCCACAUCUCUUUCAAGCAGGGAUUCCGAUGAGUCAACAGGGAUAAUUCCCAUCACCUUGUCGACCGGCUCAGAGUCAAGGGAAGGAUCUAUCACGGAGUUUUUGGCUCUGGAGAUCUAGAUAGAAAAGGUUUCCUUCCCGAACUGGACAUUGAGCUUAUCUUGAGUUGGAGCAACCAUGAGCAAUUUCUUGAUGGGGUGCCUGAUC
rnacentral:lncRNA from 1 species